GGAUCAUUCUGCCCAAACUGUCUACUAAAAUUGUCCAAACCUAGACAAAACACACCCAUUUUUUUUAAAGCUCUGCCCUCCUGAGGUUCAAAAUUUGUGCUAAGAUUUUAAGCUGUACAAUGAAAGGAAAAAAGUAGCAUCUUGGGUGGCGAAGAGUUAAUCCACCAUUAAGUUCAAAACAGGAAACAAGUGAACAUUUAGAAUCCCUUAGUACAGGAUUUGAAAGGCAGACGGUUGCAGUGCAGAAAAGGCACGGCUAUAUUUAUGUGAUUUACAAAUGGUUCUGUACAGAUUAUUUCCUUACUGACAUUCUAAAACCUAUAUUGUCUUCAAAAAGGCUGCAUGGUUAUUUAUUUGUUUAUUUAUUCUUGAUUUAAACGUAAGGUUUCCUGUGCUGAGAUUGCAUACUGUAUACAGAAAAGUUAUAUAUUUUAAUAUUCUUAUAUACGUGUAUACUUUUUUCCAGAAAACAUCGGCUUUCCUGAAUGCAAUGACACAGUUUCUAUCUUUGGUCCUGUUUUUAAGCCUUCUACCAGGUUACAAUUUGGUAGAAGUGAAACAAACGAAAGCACUUCUUGUUCAGUCAGGAAAGCCGGUAGUGCUGAACUGCAAUCAGAAUGACAAUAGUUACUACAACAUGUUCUGGUACCAACACAAACCAGGGCAGGGGCUAAAACUGAUGAUUUUCUCUCUAAAUGCUGGAGCUGAAGACAUGGAGGCGGAUUUUAAGGUCAGAUGGUAUGUUAAGAGACCUUCAGUUUUCAACUCCUCUCUUCACUUAAAUGAAUCAAGAAAGGAAGAUUCUGCCAUAUAUUUUUGUGCAUCCAGUAUGCACAGUUUGAAAUAGCAGAGGGAGACCCGUUAAUAAACUUUGUGGCUUUUCCUUGUUAAUACAGAAGGGGGCGCUGGUCUUCACUUCUUUCUAAUUUAUGAGUAGGACACAAUUUACCCCUUGUCUUCCAUGCAACACUUGAAUUUGGUCAGGCUUAUUUAGUUGAAGCAAUCGUUUAGUGCCUGGCAGUAGCUCAUACUCAAUCACACUUCAAUAUUUUUUUUGUCAGUUUAUCUUAAUUAUUUAUUUAUUGUAACUGUUUUUUUUUAUUGGUUUGCAUGAGUCACCAUACUUUUCACAACAUAGCUCUGUUUUGUCUAAAGGAAAUUUUAGGUUGCUAG